GUGAAUGUUCCGAGGUUGCCUGAGAAGGACAUGCCAGGGUGGGGUUCCAAUGUGCCUAAUAUGGAGGAGUGGGAAGCAUUGGAGCAUCAAGCUGAGGACAAGUCGAAUUCCAAUUCAAGGAUCCUUCCUUUGAGGGAUUUAAACCUGAAUGUUGUUCUCAAGAACUUAAACCUGAAUGUUGUUUCUCAAGAAAGUCAUUCAGAAGAUGGUUCAGGGGAACAUAAAAGCAAAACUUCCUCAUAUAUUCAACAGCAUCUUGAGUUAGGAUCAAGUAAGCCUAAGAAAAAGGAGAUAAAUAUUGAAGGGAAGAUCAUGGUGG
rnacentral:lncRNA from 1 species